ensembl:lncRNA
UUUUUUAAUGUUAGCCAUCCCGGUGGGUGCGAUGUGGGAUCUCAUUGUGGUUCUGGUGUGCCUCGCCUCGGUGACUGAGGAUGUUGAGCAUUCUUUCUAAUGCUUAUUGGCCAUCUGCAUAUCUUCUUUGGAGGAAUGUCUAUCAGAAACCUUUGCUCACUUUUAAUUGGAUUAUUUGUCACUUUACUGAUCCCCUGGAGAAGGAAAUGGCAACCCAUUCCAGUAUCCUUACCUGGGAAAUCCCUUGGACAGAGGAGCCUGGAAGCCUACAGUCCAUGGGGUUGCAGAGGGUCGGACACGGCUGAGCGACUAAACCGCAACAAUUUACUGUUAGGUAAGGGCUGUGGGAUGGAGAUCCGACCUGAAAUUUCCUACCCUGGUUUCCCAGCUCUAGGUGCUAAAAGUCACCAGCAUGGCAGCAAGGAGGCCAGGGAUCAGCAGAGGGCCGCGGGGGUUGGGGGCCCCUGAGUCUGACCUGGUGGCGGUUUUCUCCAGCAACCCUUAGCUGCCAGGGCUGAGAGCUGGAUAAAGAGGACAUGAGGACUUUUCAGGUGUCGGAGUUGGAAGGGCCAGGAGGGAAGGGUGUUCAGGGCUUUGCAGGGGCGGAAGUGCGCCGGCUGGGCCCGCAGUGCUGCGGGGCGGAAGCAAGGGUCUUUGGUUCCUACAGGUGUGGGCAGGUGCUGGAGACACAG